CCUACGGGAGGCAGCAGUAGGGAAUUUUCCACAAUGGGCGAAAGCCUGAUGGAGCAAUACCGCGUGCAGGAUGAAGGCCUUCGGGUCGUAAACUGCUUUUAUGUGCGAAGAAUUUGACGGUAACACAUGAAUAAGGAUCGGCUAACUACGUGCCAGCAGCCGCGGUCAUACGUAGGAUCCAAGCGUUAUCCGGAAUUACUGGGCGUAAAGAGUUGCGUAGGUGGCAUUAUAAGUGGAGCGUGAAAGCGUGCGGCUCAACCGCAUUAUUGCGUUCCAAACUGUGAAGCUUGAGUAUGGGAGAGGUAGAUGGAAUUUCUAGUGUAGGAGUGAAAUCCGUAGAUAUUAGAAGGAACACCGAUGGCGUAGGCAGUCUACUGGCCCAUUACUGACACUAAGGCACGAAAGCGUGGGGAGCAAACGGGAUUAGAUACCCCGGUAGUCCACGCUGUAAACUAUGGAUGCUAGCUGUGACACACAUCGACCUGUGUCGUAGCGAAGUUAACGCGUUAAGCAUCCCGCCUGGGGAUACGGUCGCAAGNUUAAAACUCAAAAUGAAUUGACGG
rnacentral:rRNA from 1 species